rnacentral:rRNA from 1 species
GACGAACGCUGGCGGCGUGCUUAACACAUGCAAGUCGAACGGAAAGGCCCUGCUUUUGUGGGGUGCUCGAGUGGCGAACGGGUGAGUAACACGUGAGUAACCUGCCCUUGACUUUGGGAUAACUUCAGGAAACUGGGGCUCAUACCGGAUAGGAGCUCCUGCUGCAUGGUGGGGGUUGGAAAGUUUCGGCGGUUGGGGAUGGACUCGCGGCUUAUCAGCUUGUUGGUGGGGUAGUGGCUUACCAAGGCUUUGACGGGUAGCCGGCCUGAGAGGGUGACCGGCCACAUUGGGACUAAGAUACGGCCCAGACUCCUACGGGAGGCAGCAGGGGGGAAUAUUGCACAAUGGGCGGAAGCCUGAUGCAGCAACGCCGCGUGCGGGAUGACGGCCUUCGGGUUGUAAACCGCUUUCGCCUGUGACGAAGCGUGAGUGACGGUAAUGGGUAAAGAAGCACCGGCUAACUACGUG